ACCAUGUCCACGGGCGCACCCGCGGAGGGAAUGGGGGUGCGGCCCCACCUUUCUUCCGAGAACCAAUUUUUUUGAUCCUUUCAAAAUUGAGGAGAAACUAGAUGGGGGGUUAACCUCUUAAUGCUUUCCAUCUAUGACAUAAAAUAUACCAAACCUGUGCAUUUCAGAUUAUCAUAAACGUUUGAAAUGCAUGAUUUUCGCAGACCCUAAAAAUAGAAAAAAUUUCCGGCCGGCCGAUUAAUCCUAUCACUUCCCACUCGCUUCUAGCUGCCAUGUUGACUAUAUCGCUGUCUUGAUGCCACACUAAUAAGCGUUCGUUUGAAUAUUCUCAGUGAGGUCCACUAGUUCGUCAGUUGAGAAUUUAUAUUACCAUAUACUUUAGAAGUUCAUUGAUCAGUGAUCUUAAAGCUUGGUUAACACUAGUAAUUCUGUCCGCGAUAGUAGUUUCUCCUUCUGACAAAUGCCCAAUGAAUGACAUGCAGAAGAAUUGUUUACUUCUGAAAAGCGACUCUAUACUUUUGCAUCCGUUAAGGCCCAUACAGACAGGACGCGAUUUGGCGACGCGAUAUCUGUAUGGGUCUUUAGAAACACAAAAUCGCGGACGAAAUUGCCAGUGUGAAGCAGGCCUAAAAAAACUCAAGCCACGUCUUCGGCUACCACUCGUUUUUCAACACAAUCUUCGGUGUUUUAAAUCGCAUUAAUAGACCACUCCCCUUGCAUGCUAUUUGACAACAAAACCCCUCAGAGUUUUUAUACGUUACAAGUCUUGUUUUUCAACACGAGCUCUUAGAAAAACUGAACUUUCAACCCUUUGAAAAAUUUCAGUUGCCUUUGAACUAUAUCAAGCCUACAGAUAUCGGUAGCAAACUCUUAUCGUUUAGAAAUACACGAGAUAUAAACUCACAGCUUUCAUAAUCAAGUCCACUGUUCCACCUGUUAAUUAGCUAGCGAGUUCUUAUCCUUUAUAAAUACACGAGAAUUAAACUCUCAACCUUCAAGAAUCUAGUCAAAUGAGAACAGAACCUAUUGAGCU